rnacentral:rRNA from 1 species
CUGAGGGAUGUAUUAUCGCGCCUAUGACCUGGGUACACACGCGUCCAAUGGACAUACAACCGGUUGCCAACUCGCGCGACGGAGUAAUCCGAUAAAGUCGUUAUCAGUUCGGAUUGUAGGCUGCAACUCGCCUACAUGAAGCCGGAAUCGCUAGUAAUCGCGGAUCAGCAUGCCGCGGUGAAUACGUUCCCGGGCCUUGUACACACCGCCCGUCACACCACGAGAGUUUGUAACACCCGAAGUCGGUGGGGUAACCUUUUGGAGCCAGCCGCCGAAGGUGGAUAGAUGAUGGGUGG